rnacentral:rRNA from 1 species
GACAGAGGCCCCAAGCGUUAGGCGGAAUCACUGGGCUUAAAGCGCGUGUAGGCGGAUCGUUAAGUGCCUUGUGAAAUCCUGCGGCUCAACCGCAGAACUGCUGGGCAUACUGGCGAUCUUGGGCCACUCAGGGGUCACUGGAACAAGCGGUGGAGCGGUGAAAUGCGUAGAUAUCGAGAGGAACACCUGCGGCGAAGGCGGGUUGCUGGGCUGACACUGACGCUGACAGCGCGAAAGCUAGGGGAGCGAACGGG